UACGAGGGGUGCAAGCGUUGUUCGGAAUUACUGGGCGUAAAGCGUGUCGAGGCGGAUCCACAAGUCAGGCGUGAAAGCCCCCGGUUUAACCGGGGAGGGUCGCUUGAAACUGUGGACCUUGAGUUCCGGGGAGGUGGGUGGAAUUCCCAGUGUAGAGGUGAAAUUCGUAGAGAUUGGGAGGAACACCGGCGGCGAAAGCGGCUCACUAACCGGACACUGACGCUCUAGCACGAAAGCGUGGGUAGCAAACAGG
rnacentral:rRNA from 1 species